rfam:Rattus norvegicus chromosome 2, whole genome shotgun sequence.
GGGGAUUUAGCUCAGUGGUAGAGCGCUUGCGUAGCAAGCACAAGGCCCUGGGUUCGGUCCCCAGCCCCC